AAGCAUGAUGAAUAUCAAUCCUUGCGCUCCGAGCUACUCGUAGCUAUGCGGAUAAGUUUCUGGUACUUGCAACUGCCGCGCAGUUGCAAGCUGAUUUC
rnacentral:snoRNA from 1 species